rnacentral:rRNA from 1 species
UACGUAGGGUGCGAGCGUUGUCCGGAAUUAUUGGGCGUAAAGAGCUUGUAGGCGGUUUGUCGCGUCUGCUGUGAAAAUCCGGGGCUCAACCCCGGACUUGCAGUGGGUACGGGCAGACUAGAGUGUGGUAGGGGAGACUGGAAUUCCUGGUGUAGCGGUGAAAUGCGCAGAUAUCAGGAGGAACACCGGUGGCGAAGGCGGGUCUCUGGGCCGAUACUGACGCUGAGGAGCGAAAGCAUGGGUAGCGAACAGG